GAUGAACGCUAGCGGCAGGCCUAAUACAUGCAAGUCGAACGCUCAGUAGCAAUACUGGGAGUGGCGCACGGGUGCGUAACGCGUACACAAUCUACCUCUAAGCGGGGGACACCUCCUGGAAACGGGGAUUAAUACCGCAUAAUAUGCCGAAGUCGCAUGACUUUGGUAUUAAAGCAGCAAUGCACUUAGAGAUGAGUGUGCGUCCCAUUAGGUAGUUGGUGAGGUAACGGCUCACCAAGCCUAUGAUGGGUAGCCGGUCUGAGAGGAUGGUCGGCCACACGGGCACUGAGACACGGGCCCGACUCCUACGGGAGGCAGCAGUAAGGAAUAUUGGUCAAUGGUGGAAACACUGAACCAGCCAUGCCGCGUGGAGGAAUAAGGUCCUACGGAUUGUAAACUCCUUUUGACGAGGAAGAAAAUGUUAGAUUUAUCUAAUUUUGACGGUACUCGUAGAAUAAGCACCGGCUAACUCCGUGCCAGCAGCCGCGGUAAGG
rnacentral:rRNA from 1 species